ensembl:lncRNA
AUAACUUUUCUUCCAAGAAGGGAAUGGCAAAUGACUUCAGUGUUCUUGCCUUGAGAACCCCAUGAACAGUGUGAAAAGGCAAGCCAGAUGCCUGGGUUCAAAUCCUGCUUCUGUCAUUUGCUGCACCAUCUUGGGGAAGUUACUUAAGCUCGCUGUACCUCUGUGUUCUCAUCUGGAAAAUGCCUGUGGGAGCCUCUUCCUCCCAGAUGACAGUCUCCAGAGCAAUGAAGUUUUCUCUAGAGCACUCCUCCAUGGAAGUGGGGAUGGUAAGAGUAAUCCUGAAUAUUUAACAAUUCUAUCAACGGACCUGGGAAUCUCAGCUGGUCUAUAAUGAGUACAGAAAAACUUGCUGUGGGAUGUAGAAACCAAG